GACGAACCGAGCGAACGUUGUUCGGAAUCACUGGGCUUAAAGGGCGCGUAGGCGGGUGCUCAAGUCCGGGGUGAAAUCCUCCAGCUCAACUGGAGAACUGCCUCGGAUACUGGGUGCCUCGAGGGUGGGAGGGGUAUGCGGAACUAUCGGUGGAGCGGUGAAAUGCGUUGAUAUCGAUAGGAACUCCGGUGGCGAAGGCGGCAUACUGGACCACUUCUGACGCUGAGGCGCGAAAGCCAGGGGAGCAAACGGG
rnacentral:rRNA from 1 species